rnacentral:rRNA from 1 species
AUGGCUCAGGAUGAACGCUAGCUACAGGCUUAACACAUGCAAGUCGAGGGGCAGCAUUGGGAUAGCUGCAUUCAGAUGGCGACCGGCGCACGGGUGAGUAACGCGUAUCCAACCUUCCUGCCAGUAGGGAACAGCCCGGCGAAAGUCGGAUUAAUGCCCUAUGUUCUUCAAUGCGGACAUCUAAGUUGAAGGAAAGAUUCAUCGCUGGCAGAUGGGGAUGCGUCCGAUUAGCUUGCCGGCGGGGUAACGGCCCACCGGGGCGACGAUCGGUAGGGGUUCUGAGAGGAAGGUCCCCCACACUGGUACUGAGACACGGACCAGACUCCUACGGGAGGCAGCAGUGAGGAAUAUUGGUCAAUGGGCGUAAGCCUGAACCAGCCAAGUAGCGUGCAAGGAUGACGGCCCUACGGGUUGUAAACUGCUUUUAUGCGGGGAUAAAGUGCGGCACGUGUGCCGCUUUGCAGGUACCGCAUGAAUAAGGACCGGCUAAUUCCGUGCCAGCCGCUGC